rnacentral:lncRNA from 1 species
CAUUUCAUAAAUUUAAGUUAUUAUAUUUUUCUUAAGAUUCCUAUUUUUUAAUUUAAGAUUCUUAUUUGUUAACUACUUAGAAUUUCACAAAUUUUAGCUAUUAUAUUUUUGUUAAGAUUCCUAUUUGUUAACUAUUUAGAAUUAUAUCUAUUUUACGAUUACUAUUGUUUAGCUACUUUACAUAUUUUCUCUCAAAAAAAUUAGAAAAAUUAACCAAAGAG